rnacentral:pre_miRNA from 1 species
UUAGCUCAUAUUUGUAUGGAAUGGGAUCGUUUGCCUACGUUUGCCGCUAGGGGCGCUGUUCCAACUGCAUACAAAAUUGGCUUA